rnacentral:rRNA from 1 species
GUGGUUAAGUUACUAAGGGCACACGGUGGAUGCCUUGGCGCUAGGAGCCGAAGAAGGACGCAGCGAACUGCGAUAAGCCUCGGGGAGCGGUAAGCACGCUUUGAUCCGGGGAUCUCCGAAUGGGGUAACCCACCAUCUGUAAUGGGAUGGUAUCCUUCACUGAAUACAUAGGUGAUGAGAAGGCAGACCCGGUGAACUGAAACAUCUAAGUAGCCGGAGGAAGAGAAAACAAUAGUGAUUCCGUCAGUAGUGGCGAGCGAACGCGGAAGAGCCUAAACCGUCGGGUUUACCCGGCGGGGUUGUGGGGCGUCUCACACGGAGUUACAAAAGACUCUUGUAGAUGAACAGUUUGGGAAGACUGACCAAAGAGCGUGACAGUCGCGUAAUCCAAACAAGAGUCUCUCCGAGACCAACCCCGAGUAGCGCGGGACACGUGAAAUCCCGUGUGAAUCUGGCAGGACCAUCUGCUAAGGCUAAAUACUACCUAGCGACCGAUAGUGAACCAGUACCGUGAGGGAAAGGUGAAAAGCACCCCGGGAGGGGAGUGAAAUAGUACCUGAAACCGUGUGCUUACAAAUAGUCGGAGCCCGUUAAAAGGGUGACGGCGUGCCUUUUGUAGAAUGAACCGGCGAGUUACGGUAGCGUGCGAGGUUAAGUUGAAGAGACGGAGCCGCAGCGAAAGCGAGUCUGAAUAGGGCGAUAGUACGCUGCCGUAGACCCGAAACCGUGUGAUCUAGCCAUGUCCAGGGUGAAGGUAGGGUAACACCUACUGGAGGCCCGAACCCACGCACGUUGAAAAGUGCGGGGAUGAGGUGUGGCUAGCGGUGAAAUUCCAAUCGAACUCGGAGAUAGCUGGUUCUCCCCGAAAUAGCUUUAGGGCUAGCCUCGGAAUUAGAGUCUUGGAGGUAGAGCACUGAUUGGGCUAGGGGCCCUCAUCGGGUUACCGAACUCAGUCAAACUCCGAAUGCCAAUGACUUAUGUCCGGGAGUCAGACGGUGAGUGCUAAGAUCCAUCGUCAAAAGGGAAACAGCCCAGACCAUCAGCUAAGGUCCCCAAGUAUACGUUAAGUGGGAAACGAUGUGGAGUUGCCCAGACAACCAGGAUGUUGGCUUAGAAGCAGCCACCAUUUAAAGAGUGCGUAAUAGCUCACUGGUCGAGUGACUCUGCGCGGAAAAUGUAACGGGGCUAAACGUAUCACCGAAGCUAUGGCAGUCCUUACGGACUGGGUAGGGGAGCGUUCCAAGCAGCAGGGAAGCCGUACUGGAAAGAGCGGUGGAGCGCUUGGAAGUGAGAAUGCCGGUGUAAGUAGCGAAAAGACAAGUGAGAAUCUUGUCCACCGAAAGCCUAAGGUUUCCUGGGGAAGGCUCGUCCUCCCAGGGUUAGUCGGGACCUAAGCUGAGGCCGAAAGGCGUAGGCGAUGGACAACAGGUUGAUAUUCCUGUACCACCUCUGUUCCGCUUGAGCAAUGGCGUGACGCAGGAGGAUAGGGUGAGCGGCCUACUGGAUGGCCGUCCAAGCAG